rnacentral:rRNA from 1 species
GACGAACGCUGGCGGCGUGCUUAACACAUGCAAGUCGAACGGAAAGGCCCCUUUGGGGGUACUCGAGUGGAGAACGGGUGAGUAACACGUGAGUAACCUGCCCUUGACUUCGGGAUAACUUCAGGAAAGUGGGGCUAAUACCGGAUAGGAAUCCUUGCUGCAUGGUGGGGGUUGGAAAGCUUCGGCGCUUUUGGGUGGACUCGCGGCUUAUUGACUUGUUGGUGGGGUAGUGGUUUACCAAGGCUUUGACGGGUAGCUGGCCUGCGAGGGCGACCGGCCACAUUGGGACUGAGAUACGGCCCAGACUCCUACGGUAGGCAUCAGUGGGGAAUAUUGCACAAUGGGCGGCAGCCUGAUGCAGCAACGCCGCGUGCGGGAUUACGGCCUUCGGGUUGUAAACCGCUUUCAGCAGGGGCGAAGCUUGUGGUGACGGUACCUGCAGAAGAAGCACCGGCUAACUACGUG